rnacentral:misc_RNA from 1 species
AAAAAACCUUAAAUAAAUAAGAGUUGUUAUGGUGGUUAAGCGACAUUUUUGCAUUCAAUUAACAUCUAAACAUUUUAUUUCUAUUUGCUUCCUCUUGUUGCACCUUAUUUUCCACAGCUCCACGGUCUCUGCAACUCUUUAAACUUGGACUUUGGAACACACAGAGACCAGAGACACAAAAUCCAAGUGGCAAAGCCUUCGCUUUCUUGUGAGAGACAGAUGUUUUAGAUACAAAGCAUUAGUCUUUACAUACAUCUGGAUAUGCGUGUUUGCUUGUCUCUUUGCCUGUGUAGCGUGUGUGAAUUUAGCAGUUGUUGAUUCUUGCUCUUUUUAUAUUUCUCUUUUCUAUCUUCUCUUGCUUUAAAUUUGUGCACAUAGAGGUUUCUGGGGACUAAGUUGGCGUUGAUUUUGAAGUAAAGAAGGGUUCUUUUGGAUCUGGGUCGGAGUCAAUUCAGUGCAUUGACUUGGGAUUGAGAUGGGUUUUGUUUCGUUUUAGCUUGUGAUUUGUCUCAAAGUGCAAGUUACCAUGAUGACUUGGAGGAAUAGAGGAGUAGAUACAUCUGCAAAGAGUGUGAUUUCAAAGAAAUGGAGUCUUCUGCUUUGUAUUGGUUGCUUCUGUGCUGGGAUGUUAUUCUCGGACAGAAUGUGGGCUGUGCCUGAAGUUAAAGGUAUAUCAAGGACAACAAGGGUUGAAGAUGAAAAGUUGAAGCUAGUUUCAGAGGGAUGUGCCCCAGAAACUGAUGUAAAGCCCGAAUCCAAGGACAUCAUGGGAGAAGUUUCAAAGACACAUCAAGCUAUCCAAACUCUGGAUAAAACAAUAUCAAAUUUGGAAAUGGAGUUAGCUGCUGCAAGGGCUGUGCAGGAAUCCAUGCUAAAUGGUUCACCAGUAUCAAACAAUUUGAAAAUCACUCAAUCAAGUAGGAAAAGAAAGUAUUUAAUGGUUGUAGGCAUAAAUACUGCUUUUAGCAGCCGAAAGCGAAGAGAUUCAGUUCGUGCUACUUGGAUGCCUCAAGGUUUCUGAAUGAUAAUAAUUGGUUUGAGUUCAAUGUUUUUAUAAUGACUUCUUUUAUGGAUGGUCUAGUAUGUAAUUAUCUAUUUAUCCUUUUCUCAUCCUGUAUGAUAAAUAGGCGAUAAAAGAAAGAAGCUUGAGGAAGAGAAGGGCAUCAUAAUUCGAUUUGUAAUAGGUCACAGGUGGGAACCUUAUCUAAGUCCAAACUUUAUUUUGGUUGCAAUACAACUUAUGUCUUGGCUUUUGUAGAGAUGUAUAACAGUAUUACAACUGGAAAUCUAAGAGGUUUCGUUAUAAGAAAAUUAUCUUGUUAAUUGCUUGGGGUCAAGGAUAACCUACAUGUGUUGCUAACUUAUAUUCAAGAGUGGAAUAUUGCAAUCUAGAAAACAAGCAUAUAGUCCAACUUGGAUUGGAAUGGAGGAAAAAUUGAUUUGGUGUGGUAGCAGUAAGUGAUGCACAUACAGGCAAAGAGAUGGAAAAAGGGAGAGUAAUAGAACAUUGGUAAGAGAAUAAUGGAGAAAUGAAGAUGAACAUGUAACAUAAGACAAGGAUCGCAAAGGAUUAUCCAAGCAAAAUUCCAAUGCAGGGGAACAUAUUUUCUCUUUCCAAAAUAUGAGUGUGCUGUUACCCAUAAAGACACAACUCAUUAAGUAGUAAGCUGGCUUUGUAAUAAUCAUAUGCCAUGAAUUCCCUCAGUAACAGGAGUGAAAUGUGGAGAAAGAUAACAAAGCGUAAGAGAAGUCUAGGGGACAUGUAUGAGCACAUCUAUUCAUGAAGCCUUUCUUUUGUGUAUACUUGUGAUGAUUUAUACAUGGUUGUCUUGAUCUUUGACAUCAAAACCAAUCUUGAAAGAUUGAAUCUUAAUUAUCUUUUUCCCUGCCCUUGGCUGUUGGAUCGCCAGUGCCACAGCAGGUGGUAUUCUUGACAGAGCUAUUGAAGCAGAAGAUAAGAAGCAUGGUGACUUCUUGAGACUGGAGCAUGUUGAGGGUUACCUUGAAUUGUCUGCAAAAACA